rnacentral:lncRNA from 1 species
UUGACCUUUGGUGACUUCGUCGGAGAGCAAUCACGGCGAAGACAAGGUGGUGUCCGCGGCUCUAUUUCGAGAAAAACGGAGAGAAGGAGAGAGGGAAGAGGCCGAUGGAUCGAUUCUAAGGAGAGGGGAGACCUUCUUAUAGAGGGUCCUAGGAUUUCGAGGGGUCCUAGGACUCCUAAUAGGCUUGGGUCUCGCCGGAGAAGAAGACUCCUACCGGGAGUCUUCUUCCCGGUUUUACUCUUGUUUUUUUNN